rnacentral:rRNA from 1 species
UACGUAGGGACCAAGCGUUGUUCGGAUUUACUGGGCGUAAAGGGCGCGUAGGCGGCAUUGUUAGUCACUUGUGAAAUCUCCGGGCUUAACUCGGAACGGCCAAGUGAUACUGCAGUGCUAGAGUGCGGAAGGGGCAAUCGGAAUUCUUGGUGUAGCGGUGAAAUGCGUAGAUAUCAAGAGGAACACCAGAGGUGAAGACGGGUUGCUGGGCCGACACUGACGCUGAGGCGCGAAAGCCAGGGGAGCAAACGGG